UGAUUGACUUUCCUCGUGGCCCAGACGGUAAAGAAACUGUCUGCAAGGCAGGAGAUCUAGAUUCGAUCCCUGAGUUGGGAAGAUCCCCUGGAGCAAGAAAUGGCAACCCACUCCAGUAUUCUUACCUGGAGGAUUCCAUGGGCAGAGGAGCCUGGUGGGCUACAGUCCAUGGGGUCACAAAGAGUUGGACACGACUGAGUGACUAGCACACUGGGGUUAAAGCAAGGCUCUGGCAUCCUGUUCACACGCUGUUCUUUCCCUCUGGCUCCAGCUGCCUGUCCGAGGUCAGUCCCACCUGUUCCGUGGGACAAAGCAUCUCAGCAGCGCCCUAUCCAGUUCCUGAAAAGAUGCCCACCUGUCUGCUAGUCAUACUGGGGAAAACGUCGCAAGGAAGCCCCUCAGUCUCCUGGCUAGAUAGUGAUCACCAAAGGCUUUCCUGCAGUGAGUUCUCUGAUAGCUGAUGCGGCCACUGAUAUGAUCAACCGUGUGAUCAGAGACGCAAUCUGAAGCUAAGUCCCCGCAUCCUUGGACUUCCGAGGUGGUGCUAGUGGUAAAGAACUCAUUGCCAAUACCGGAGGCUUAAGAGACUCGAGUUCGAUCCCUGGGUCAGGAAGAUCCCUGGAGGAGGGCAUCGUAACCCACUCCAGUAUUCUUUUUUUUUUUUUUAAUUUUAUUUUAUUUUUAAACUUUACAAUAUUGUAUUAGUUUUGCCAAAUAUCGAAAUGAAUCCGCUACAGGUAUACCCGCGUUCCCCAUCCUGAACCCUCCUCCCUCCUCCCUCCCCUACCCUCCCUCUGGGUCGUCCCAAUAACCCAGCCCCAAGCAUCCAGUACCGUGCAUCGAACCUGGACUGGCGACUCGUUUCAUAC
rnacentral:lncRNA from 1 species